CCUUGAAAUGCAUCACCAGGUCGCAUCCCAUAAGAAGGCUGUUAUAUGUUCCUAUUUAUUUCAAAUAUUAACCUAGUUAGCUCGUAAGUUCAAAUUAAAUGGUUUUGGUUAUACCUUUGAAGGAGUAGCCUCCUGCCAAAAUGUUUAUUAUAGGUUCUUCAAAAGCCGGUAGGAUUCAAGUUUGAUGGCUGAUUAUAUUCUAGUUUUCCAUGAUUGUAUCAUCAUCAUCAUCUAAGCAUUGUCUUAACUAAUUGGGGUCAGCUACAUGAAUCCUAUCUGUCAUUCUACUCUAUCAAGGACCAUAUCCUCGAAGUUAAAAUUAUUUUAGUCAGACUAUGAUUGUAUAAAAGUUAAAAUAGUAUCUUAUCAAUUGAAGUUAAUGGGAUUCUAGUCAAAUUUAAGUGGAAGUUGAGGAUUCCUUCUUCAGAAGUAGUCAUUUCGUGCAUAAUUGUGAUUAUCAUUAUCAAAGCCUUCUCCCUCCUAUUUGGGGUUGGCUUUAUGAGUCGUGUUUUUCCAAUACUUUUUUUAAGGCCCUGAUUCCAAGACCUUUUGGGUCUUCCUCAUCCUCGUUUCAGGCCCUUUUACCUGAAUCAAAGUUUCCAUACUUUUGGAUUGUGUUUGGUCUUAUAUGCUCAUGAAUAAACCAUGUCAAGUUCCACAUUUAUCUUUUAUUAGGACUACUUACUGGGUUGUUUCAGUUGACCUCAUUCUUAAUUCAAUACUGUCGAGUCUUUCAACACAUCCAUCUCAACAUCCUCGUCUCUAAAACAGUCAAUCUCUGUUCAUGUUGCCUUUAUAACUGCACAACACUACUGACCACAUAGCAUAGCUGGUUGAAUAGCUAUGUUAUAAGAUUUAAAAUGAGAAUUUUCACGAUUUCUUGGCAAAAGUUCAAUGACUCAUGGCCACUCAUGCUAAACUGGUUCGUGUGUGGGAUGUGAGCCAUGCAUAAGGUGGACCCCCACCUUGUUGAUGUCAUGGCCCUUAAGUCAGCCAGUCCAGUUAUCAAGGGCUAAACAUGUGUUAAAGCAAUGGACGGCUUAAAAAAAGAAAGCCAGGUAUACAGUAUUUAUCAUUAGACAUGUAUGGUCUCCCUGAUGAGUAGAUGAGACUGUCCAUCUUAUGAAGUUCUUAAUUGUGAGGGAGUACUGCAUAGGUGUAGAGUGUUUGUUUGUUCAGCCUCACAGGUGUAGAGUGCUGCCCAUUCUGACUUGCCAAUAUGGCAUGCAAGAUCUAAGCUUUCAAUCAAGUGGGCCACACUUUUUAGAUGUUCUACUUAAAAAUCAGUAUGCAUCAGUCCUCAGGCCAGAAUGACACACCUGAGAUUUAGGGUACAAGAUCUAAAGAUUGAAGCCCACCUGAGCUUUAGGCUACAAGAUCAAAACAAUGAAGCCCACCUGAGAUUUAGGGUACAAGAUCUAAACAGUGAAGCCCACCUGAUGGACUUAUUGUUGCUCCUGGAGGCUCAAAUCUGGUGGACUUAUUGUUGCUCCUGGUAAGUUGGAGCUUAAUUCAUGUCUCGAUGGCUUUCAUUUUCAGUGUAAAGGGGAACCUGGCAAUGCAGCUGAACAAAAAAUUUUCUUUGAAGAUGGUAGCUCUGACAUGAAGAAGCACUUGCUGACUAAUCUGCCCAAAGGUUGCAAACUGAUGAAAUUGAUCAAAAUUGCAAGACAUUCAUGGAUUAAAAAUUGGAAAAUCCUUCAAGAUUGUGCUAUUUGCUUCCUUUGUGUACUAUCAUUAGAUUGGUAUGCUUUUUAUAUAUCUAUUUUCAAUUUGAGUCUCUUACUCUGCCUGUGAAGGCCUCUGGUUUAUGUAGAAUAAGAGCUUUGUAUCCACAUGGACAAUGAACCAUCAUUAAUGCUCUCUCUCUCUCUCUCUCUCUCUCUCUCUCUCCAAGAAAAUAUAAAGGAAAGAACCAUAAUUAAUGCUACUUUCAUGGUUUUGAGUGGAGCUUUUCAAAUGAUUAUUUUUUCCCUACUUUGAUUCAUUCUUAUUAAAGUGCUCUUGCAUUUGUCUAUGUUCUUGCUCUUCUUCUUUUUGUUUAGUGAUUUUCAUUUAGUGAAUCUUUUACUUAUCCGUUGAUGCAGUUUUGGAGAUUAUGUUUUUGAUCAAGUUGUUGCCCCUGUUCGGGAAACUUGUGCUCAGGCACUAGGUGCCACACUAUGUACAUGCAUCCUUCACUAGUUCAUGAAACACUGAAUAUCUUACUACACAUGCAAGUAAUGAUUAUGAAGGAACUGUGUAGACAAGAAUAAGAAAUUUGUCAUGGAACCCUUUUGGGGAUCAAAUACUUGGUUGUUGUUAGAAGGGUAUGGUGCUUCAUAUAUUCUACCUAUCUUCUUCUUUUGUUUUACUUUGGAGUAGUGUUUCCCAUGCAUCUUUGGGCAUUGGUACCUUUCUAUUGUCCUUUAGUUUCACUUAGUUUGUCAUGGAAAAAGAGAUCUCCGCUUUUAGCGGAGCUAAACCAGAGUCUGCUGCUUCCCCAAAGCAAGGCUGCAUUUGCUCGGACUUUGUACAAUGUACCCCUGAUCAACUCCCUCGUGCUUUACUUAGGCAUGCAGGCUAUCUACACCACUCCCGUGGAUGAUUUUUCAAUCAGUCUUACCAUGGACAUUUUCCAGGUUAUGAUAAUGGAUUUGGAUCUAGAAGGGCGCUACCUUUUCCUAAAUUCAGUUGCCAACCAAUUAUGCUACCCAAGCAGCCAUACCUUCUACUUCUUCUUGGUCCUCUAUUUGUUUUCAGAAGCAAGCCAGGUGAGGACUUGCUGUGUUCAUAAUUCAACUUAUGUUCAAUUAAAUUCAGUAGGAAGGAUGUAGAAUACUUUGUUCACUAUUGUUAUGCAAACUACAGGAGUUGUCAUCAUGUUUCAUAAUUAACAAAAUUGGCUGAAGUAAAUGUCAUUUUUAGUAUUAUUAUCAGUUUGCUA